AUGCCUCACACAUGCAAGUCGAACGGCANCACGGGAGCAAUCCUGGUGGCGAGUGGCGAACGGGUGAGUAAUAUAUCGGAACGUGCCCAGUCGUGGGGGAUAACGCAGCGAAAGCUGUGCUAAUACCGCAUACGAUCUAUGGAUGAAAGCGGGGGAUCGCAAGACCUCGCGCGAUUGGAGCGGCCGAUAUCAGAUUAGCUAGUUGGUGGGGUAAAAGCCCACCAAGGCGACGAUCUGUAGCUGGUCUGAGAGGACGACCAGCCACACUGGAACUGAGACACGGUCCAGACUCCUACGGGAGGCAGCAGUGGGGAAUUUUGGACAAUGGGCGAAAGCCUGAUCCAGCAAUGCCGCGUGCAGGACGAAGCCUUCGGGUUGUAAACUGCUUUUGUACGGAACGAAACGGUCUCUUUUAAUAAAAGGGGCUAAUGACGGUACCGUAAGAAUAAGCACCGGCUAACUACGUGCCAGCAGCCGCGGUAAUACGUAGGGUGCGAGCGUUAAUCGGAAUUACUGGGCGUAAAGCGUGCCCAGCGGUUAUAUAAGACAAAUGUGAAAUCCCGGCUCAACCUGGGACCUGCAUUUGUGACUGUAUANCUAGANUCCGGNAAAGGGGGAUGGAAUUCC
rnacentral:rRNA from 1 species